rfam:Ictidomys tridecemlineatus contig000362, whole genome shotgun sequence.
UGGGGUGUGGCUCAGUGGUAGAGCACUUGCCUCCCACCUGUGAGGCACUGGGGUCGAUCCUCAGCACCACAU